GACGAUGAUGGCGUUGGCCUAACCGGAUUUGCAGUGCAUCAGGUAAGGGAAAAAGGAUGGUUAGAUAGAGAGAAGGGGAGUUCUGUGAUUGGAGAGGAGAGGAGACAGGGAUGAGGCAGAGCAUGGGAUGGGGCUAUCAACAGAUGUAGAUUAUUCCUUGCACAAGAGAUGAUGAUGAGCUGUGAAUGAGUUCUGAGAGAUGGCUGGUGUUGUUGUUGCUCCCUCCCCUGCACUGCCUCUUCCCUGGCUCCCCUGCACACCUCUCUCUCUCUCUCUCUCUCUCUGUGUGUUAGUAUAUUGUUUUUAUGUUUUAGUAAUUAUUUUCCUUCCAUAAGUGAUACGGUAUUUGUAGCAUGUAGGUAGAAAAAAAAAUGAAACUAGAGUGAUGUGACACUUCAAGGGCUGUUGCAAAUUAACACAUUUUAAAAUGGACCAAGCGUACUAUUUCUCAGCAUGUGGUUCUAGCUCAAAACAUGCAUUUCAUUCGGCAUGCCAUGCUAGUUUUAAGCUCAGUAUAGCAUUUCAAUAAUUUAUUUGACAUACUAAAUCUAGCUCAAAACUGCAUUUCAUACGGUAUGUCAUCCACGUUUCUAGCUAAAAAUAGCAUUUCAUUUGGCAUUGCUAUGCUAGUUUCUAGCUCAAAAUAGCAUUCUAAUUUACAUGCAUUGAUAAUUCCUAGUUCAAAAUAGUAAUUUAAGGGAUCUUUUUCCACUUGAACCCGGAGCUGUUUUAGUGCAGGGGAGGAGGAAACUGCGCGGUCUGAUGGAGAUUGGGCAAGAUUGGGACGGAAGGAAGCAGAACAAAGCGAAAAAUUCAAGAUAUGCUUUGCGAUUUGCCAAUUGCAAUAGUUUGCAAUAGAAUCUCCGUAGUAUAAUUUUUGGCAUGUCCUGCUGUAACUGCCGGAAAGAACAAAAGAAAAGCUCAAUCUUGGUUUUCAGACCAUGCAAUGCAAUGAUGAACCGUUUGUUACU
rnacentral:sRNA from 1 species